CCAGACUCCUACGGGAGGCAGCAGUGGGGGAUAUUGCACAAUGGGGGAAACCCUGAUGCAGCAACGCCGCGUGAGUGAAGAAGUAUUUCGGUAUGUAAAGCUCUAUCAGCAGGGAAGAAAAUGACGGUACCUGAAGAAGAAGCCCCGGCUAACUACGUGCCAGCAGCCGCGGUAAUACGUAGGGGGCAAGCGUUAUCCGGAUUUACUGGGUGUAAAGGGGGCGCAGACGGCGAUGCAAGCCAGGAGUGAAAGCCCGGGGCCCAACCCCGGGACUGCUCUUGGAACUGCGUGGCUGGAGUGCAGGAGGGGCAGGCGGAAUUCCCAGUGUAGCGGUGAAAUGCGUAGAUAUUGGGAGGAACACCAGUGGCGAAGGCGGCCUGCUGGACAUUAACUGACGCUGAGGCGCGAAAGCGUGGGGAGCAAACAGGAUUAGAUACCCCAGUAAGC
rnacentral:rRNA from 1 species